AAAACUAAGUAAGCUGGAAGGUUUGCUUCUCAGUGCGGAAGGAUGAAAGAUGUGUUUUGAAAAUGCCACGUCACUACCGUCCUCCUCCCUCGCGGAUCAGUCCGCAUGUUCACGGUACAUUUUUUAUGGAAUAUGUUGAGCAAACCUGGAGAAGCGUCAGCUCAAGAGAUUAUUGUUGUCAUUGCUGUGGAUUUUUACCUGAUAAACUGACUUGGCUCGGGACCAGCACUCCUGUUGUUGGACAGAAAGACAUCAACUCAGUGACUUGAGAUAUGACUGCACUAUGCUGUUGCUGGUGACUCCAGUUAAUUCUACAAGACUGUGUUCAACAAGUGACCGGGCGCCUGUUUAGCUCACUAGGAUGAGCAGAAAUGCUGUUUUCCAGAGAAGCUGGUUAUGUUUCAUAAUCAUUUGGGUCUCAGUCACAGAGGAUUCAUGGAAAACAAGAGAAACACACAGAGCUUCUACACAAAGUCUGUAAGAGUGUAUCCAGAUUCCUGAACCAUGAUGUCAGCAUGUUAUGGAUGGUCGUGGCUUUUUCAGUGCUCCAUGGCUUAUGCUCAUGUGCAUGCUCACCAUUUUUCCUUCAGCUGGAUCCUGUGACAAGAGUUUAUUACUCAAGCUAGGUCAUGCACAUUUAGGCAAAAAUUAUGAGUGACCACAUGUGAUGAAAUCUUGGAUGCAGUACUACUACUACUACUACUACGACUCUAAUAAUAAUAAUCAUUAUAAUAAUUUGGGUUUAGAGCCCUCAUAAAUAUAAAUACUGAAGUACAGGAGAUGACCAUGUGAAUUUAUACUCCGUCAGUAUCAGAACAGAGCAACCAGAAGUUAACUUUGACUUCUGCACGUCAGAACAUACAACAUACGUUAUGCACUACAAUGAG
ensembl:lncRNA